UGCCUAUUGAUAAUUUGGGUCCUGUAGAUACUCGCACAACAUCUCCUAUUCAUAGAUCCGCCCCUGCUUUUAUACAGUUAGAUACAAAAUUAUCUAUUUUUGAAACAGGAAUUAAAGUAGUAGAUCUUUUAGCCCCUUAUCGACGUGGAGGAAAAAUAGGACUAUUCGGAGGGGCUAGAGU